rnacentral:lncRNA from 1 species
AAUAUGUAAAAUUAUAAUUGUAUUCUUCCAACCCUCUUUAAAACCCUUCCAGUACGUCAUUUUUAUUUCACUCUUCUUCUGUUCCUAUUCGCACAAAUCCUUCCCUACUACCAAUCUAGCCCAAGUAUUGACCACCGCCACCUCAGCCGCCUCUCUACCGUCGAGGUCGCUGCUGCCACCCUCACCGCCGCCUCUCUGCCACCGACAUCAUGACCAAAGCCGCCACCAACGCUGCUGCCACCACCCUCUCUGCUACCGACACUAUAAUAUACCGAAACCUCGGUAAACGAAUAUCGAACUUUAGUCAAAUGACCAAAAUGCGAGGUUGGUACGCUUCGGAAAAGCCGAAGGCUUCAAAAAGAACAAAAGUGCAUU